rnacentral:rRNA from 1 species
AUUGAACGCUGGCGGCAUGCUUUACACAUGCAAGUCGAACGGCAGCGCGGGCUUCGGCCUGGCGGCGAGUGGCGAACGGGUGAGUAAUGCAUCGGAACGUGCCCAGCAGUGGGGGAUAGUCCCGCGAAAGCCGGAUUAAUACCGCAUACGACCUGAGGGUGCAAGCGGGGGACCGAAAGGCCUCGCGCUAUUGGAGCGGCCGAUGUCGGAUUUGCUAGUUGGUGGGGUAAAGGCUUACCAAGGCGACGAUCCGUAGCUGGUCUGAGAGGACGACCAGCCACACUGGGACUGAGACACGGCCCAGACUCCUACGGGAGGCAGCAGUGGGGAAUGUUGGACAAUGGGGGCAACCCUGAUCCAGCCAUGCCGCGUGCGGGAAGAAGGCCUUCGGGUUGUAAACCGCUUUUGUUCGGGAAGAAAUCCUCUGGGCUAAUACCCCGGGGGGAUGACGGUACCGGAAGAAUAAGCACCGGCUAACUACGUG